CCCAGGGGUGUAGCUCAGUGGUAGGGCACUUACCUAGCAUGUUUGAGGCCCUGGGUUCCUUCCCCAACCCUGGAG
rnacentral:tRNA from 1 species